rnacentral:rRNA from 1 species
AUGAACGCUGGCGGCGUGCCUAAUACAUGCACGUCGAGCGAACGGACGAGAAGCUUGCUUCUCUGAUGUUAGCGGCGGACGGGUGAGUAACACGUGGAUAACCUACCUAUAAGACUGGGAUAACUUCGGGAAACCGUAGCUAAUACCGGAUAAUAUUUUGAACCGCAUGGUUCAAAAGUGAAAGACGGUCUUGCUGUCACUUAUAGAUGGAUCCGCGCUGCAUUAGCUAGUUGGUAAGGUAACGGCUUACCAAGGCAACGAUGCAUAGCCGACCUGAGAGGGUGAUCAGCCACACUGGAACUGAGACACGGUCCAGACUCCUACGGGAGGCAGCAGUAGGGAAUCUUCCGCAAUGGGCGAAAGCCUGACGGAGCAACGCCGCGUGAGUGAUGAAGGUCUUCGGAUCGUAAAACUCUGUUAUUAGGGAAGAACAUAUGUGUAAGUAACUGUGCACAUCUUGACGGUACCUAAUCAGAAAGCCACGGCUAACUACGUG